rnacentral:rRNA from 1 species
AAACCAACCGGGAUUGCCUUAGUAACGGCGAGUGAAGCGGCAAAAGCUCAAAUUUGAAAUCUGGUACCUUCGGUGCCCGAGUUGUAAUUUGGAGAGGGCAACUUUGGGGCCGUUCCUUGUCUAUGUUCCUUGGAACAGGACGUCAUAGAGGGUGAGAAUCCCGUGUGGCGAGGAGUGCGGUUCUUUGU